rnacentral:lncRNA from 1 species
UGAUACUGUGCCCAAUUCCGAAGUUAGUUCGAUACAUAUGACCGGCAAUGAGAAAAAUAAAUGCAAUAGCUAAAUGAUGAUGAGCAAUAUCGGUCAGCCACAAACUUUGUGUUUGUGGAUGGAAUCCCCCAAGAAGGGUCAGAAUGGCAGUUCCCGCUCCUUGAGUGGUACCAAAUAAAUGAUUACUCGAAUCAGGAUUUUGGGCAUAAAGAUUCCACUGACCCGUCAGAAGGGGACCCAACCCCUGGGGAUAGGGUAAUACAUCUAAGAAAUUAUUCCAUCGAACGUACUCCCCCCUGGAUCCGGGAAUAGCAACAUGAACUAAAUGUCCUGUCCAAGCCAAAGAACUUACUCCGAAAAGUCCUGACAAAUGAUGAUUCAGACGAGAUUCGGCGUUUUUGAACCACGAAAGGCUUGGCUUCCAUUUGGGUUGUAGAUGUAACCAACCCCCUAUUAAGGAUAGCGUAGAAAGAAAUAAUAGAAAAAGAGCUCCAGUAUAAAGAUCUUCAUUGGUGCGCAAUCCAAUUGUAUACCACCACUGAUAAACCCCAGAAUAAGCGAUAUUCACUGGACCGGCAGCACCUCCUCGAGUAAAGGCUUCCACAGCGGGUUGCCCAAAAUGAGGAUCCCAAAUGGCAUGAGCAAUAGGUCUUACGUGUAAAGGAUCCUGUAUCCAUGAUUCAAAAUUUCCUUGCCAAGCUACAUGAAACAGAUUUCCGGACGUCCAUAGAAAGAUUAUUGCUAACUGCCCAAAGUGAGAAGCAAAAAUGUUCUGAUAAAGACGUUCCUCAGUAAUAUCAUCAUGACUUUCGAAAUCAUGUGCGGUAGCAAUACCAAACCAAAUACGACGAGUAGUGGGGUCCUGAGCUAAGCCUUGGCUAAACCUGGGAAAUCUUAAUUCCAUAAUGCCUUUCAAAUCCUCCUAGCC